UACGUAGGUGGCAAGCGUUGUCCGGAUUUACUGGGUGUAAAGGGCGUGCAGCCGGGACUGCAAGUCAGAUGUGAAAUCCGCGGGCUUAACCCGCGAACUGCAUUUGAAACUGCGGAUCUUGAGUACCGGAGAGGUUAUCGGAAUUCCUUGUGUAGCGGUGAAAUGCGUAGAUAUAAGGAAGAACACCAGUGGCGAAGGCGGAUAACUGGACGGCAACUGACGGUGAGGCGCGAAAGCGUGGGGAGCAAACA
rnacentral:rRNA from 1 species